ACGGGGAGCAGCAGGCGCGAAACCUUUACACUGCACGCCAGUGCGAUAAGGGAAUCCCAAGUGCGCAGGCACAGAGCCUGCGCUUUUGUACACCGUAGGGAGGUGUACGAAUAAGGGCUGGGCAAGACCGGUGCCAGCCGCCGCGGUAAUACCGGCAGCCCGAGUGAUGGCCGAUCUUAUUGGGCCUAAAGCGUCCGUAGCUGGCCGCACAAGUCCAUCGGAAAAUCCACCCGCCCAACGGGUGGGCGUCCGGUGGAAACUGUGUGGCUUGGGACCGGAAGGCGCGACGGGUACGUCCGGGGUAGGAGUGAAAUCCCGUAAUCCUGGACGGACCGCCGAUGGCGAAAGCACGUCGCGAGGACGGAUCCGACAGUGAGGGACGAAAGCCAGGGUCUCGAACCGGAUUAGAUACCCGGGUAGUCCUGGCCGUAAACAAUGCCUGCUAGGUGUGGCUCCCGCUACGAGCGGGUGCUGUGCCGUAGGGAAGCCGCUAAGCAGGCCGCCUGGGAAGUACGUCCGCAAGGAUGAAACUCAAAGGAAUUGACGG
rnacentral:rRNA from 1 species